AGAUUAGCUAUGAGCAGGAUAAGAUUUCUUACUAUCAACGUUUCCAGAGAGUUGUCGGAAGGUGUGAGACAACAGCGAAGUGGGAAAUUAUCACUUGUGAGCCUUUCAAAUGAAACAAUAGUAGUUUGGAACGGAUUUCCACCGUUAGAGGGAAGCAUAUUUACCGAUAACAGAUAUCGGAGAUGUGACUGAGAGACCAGUAUUAACUGGUAAGAGAAGUGGUAACGCGGAAGCAUAAGCCUUCGUCUUCUUA
rnacentral:ncRNA from 1 species